CCUACGGGAGGCAGCAGUGAGGAAUAUUGGUCAAUGGCCGGAAGGCUGAACCAGCCAUGCCGCGUGAAGGUCAGUGCCCUAUGGGCGUUAAACUUCUUUUGUGCGGGAGCAAUAAUGGUCACGUGUGGCCAGACGAGAGUACCGUACGAAUAAGGAUCGGCUAACUCCGUGCCAGCAGCCGCGGUAAUACGGAGGAUCCGAGCGUUAUCCGGAUUUAUUGGGUUUAAAGGGUGCGUAGGCGGUUUGAUAAGUUAGAGGUGAAAUGUCGGGGCUAAACCCGUGAAGUGCCACUAAUACUGUUGGACUAGAGAGCAGUUGCGGUAGGCGGAAUGUAUGGUGUAGCGGUGAAAUGCAUAGAGAUCAUACAGAACACCGAUUGCGAAGGCAGCUUACGAAACUACAUUUGACGCUGAGGCACGAAAGCGUGGGUAGCAAACAGGAUUAGAUACCCGGGUAGUC
rnacentral:rRNA from 1 species